rnacentral:misc_RNA from 1 species
UCCCUAUUACUAGAGCAGUCCAAGUAGAAAAAUACAACUACUUGCAAGGGUUGCGCUCGUUGAUGGACUUAACCAAACAUCUCACGACACGAGCUGACGACGGCCAUGCAACACCUGUCACUUGGUUCCAAAAGGCACACUGUGCUUUCGCACUGCUUCCAAGGAUGUCAAACCCUGGUAAGGUUCUUCGUUUAUCAUCGAAUUAAAGAACACGAUCCACCGCUUGUGCUGAUCCCCGUCAAUUCCUUUAUGUUUUAGUCUUGCGACCGUACUCCACAGGCGGGAUACUUAACGCGUUAGCUUCGCUACUGAAGGGGUCGAUACCUCCAACAGCUAGUAUCCAUCGUUUACGGCGUGGACUAC